rnacentral:rRNA from 1 species
UACGGAGGGUGCAAGCGUUAUCCGGAAUCACUGGGCGUAAAGGGCGCGUAGGCGGCCUGUUAAGUCCGAUGUUAAAGACUGGGGCUCAACCCCAGCAUUGCGUUGGAUACUGGCAGGCUUGACGGUUGGAGAGGCGAGUGGAAUUACCAGUGUAGCAGUGAAAUGCGUAGAUACUGGUAGGAACACCCAUUGCGAAGGCAGCUCGCUGGACAACACGUGACGCUGAGGCGCGAAAGUGUGGGGAGCAAACCGGAUUAGAUA